ensembl:lncRNA
CAGAUCUCGGGCUCAGAGCCUUCAGCCGGCCACAGAGUCUAGCUGGGGUUUGCUGACAUUUCCUUGCAUUUGUAUUUAUGGCUGCCUUCCAUUUACGGCGCAACCAUGAGGAGAAGUCUGUCCUGUGAAGAUACCUGAUCACGAUGCGUCCAACCUGGAGCCCCGGCUUCUGUCCCGGCUCUGUCCCGAAGGGGUGUGUAGCUUCGGCCACGUUCUGCUACAUGUGCAGUGAAGCCUAUGGGGAUGGAAACAGCCUCAGAGAGGGGACGGUGAUUGCAGAUUAUAUAGCCCUUUAGGUUUCUUGAGGGCUUUUAUGGAUCAGAGAAUGUGAAGAGGUUGAGGAUCUAUUGAGUGGCCUUUAAUAAAGGAAUCCUUGGG